CGGGUGAGUAAUGCCUAGAAUCUGCCUGGUAGUGGGGGACAACGUUUCGAAAGGAACGCUAAUACCGCAUACGUCCUACGGGAGAAAGCAGGGGACCUUCGGGCCUUGCGCUAUCAGAUGAGCCUAGGUCGGAUUAGCUAGUUGGUGAGGUAAUGGCUCACCAAGGCGACGAUCCGUAACUGGUCUGAGAGGAUGAUCAGUCACACUGGAACUGAGACACGGUCCAGACUCCUACGGGAGGCAGCAGCG
rnacentral:rRNA from 1 species